CUCCUACGGGACGCAGCAGUGAGGAAUAUUGGUCAAUGGGCGGUAGCCUGAACCAGCCAAGUAGCGUGAAGGAUGAAGGUUCUAUGGAUUGUAAACUUCUUUUAUAAAGGAAUAAAGUGAGGCACGUGUGCCUUUUUGUAUGUACUUUAUGAAUAAGGAUCGGCUAACUCCGUGCCAGCAGCCGCGGUAAUACGUAGGAUCCGAGCGUUAUCCGGAUUUAUUGGGUUUAAAGGGAGCGUAGAUGGGUUGUUAAGUCAGCGGUAAAAUUGCGGUGCUCAACGCCGUAGAGCCGUUGAAACUGGGGU
rnacentral:rRNA from 1 species